CUGUCAAUGUCUGUCCCUCUCGUCUUAGCAGAGAAUGCCACUGCAGCUUCACCAGUGAGCAAAGACCAUACAUCAGAGUCCGUGACAAAGGUGGAACCCAAAGGAUUUAAAUGUAUGUAUUAUGGAAUUUUUUUUUCUUUCUCAGGACACAUUUUAGAUAAGAAUUGUAGAAAUACUAGCUGUCUUUUGUCUGGUACACUACAGUGAUAUAAGAUUUCUAUUGGGAUGAAAAUUGGGAGUUAAAAGGGGGAUACCUGAAGUACCCAGUCAUGGCCCUGUGUCUACAGUAACUGCUUUCAACUGGAAUGCCUUUAGUUUGGGAGGGGGUGGGUUCUGUGCACCAGGCAGUGACUACAUAGGUUUUUCCCCAGGACAGUUAUCCUCGUUACACAAUCCACCUCCCAGUGACAAAUUUGUCAAUUCAAAAAGGAAGAUACACAUUUUACCUACAAAAAUGUGCUUUAACCUCGCCAUACCAACGGGCAGCAGAUUUAUUUCUUUGUGCAGCUUUCAGUAGAAUCAUAACCCAAAGUGUAGAGGUAACUCAUCAGCCUCUGUAGCCAUAGAGCUUAAGGAAUACUCCAUUAAGGGUUCAGCAAUCCCUGUGCGAGUGUUCCAGCUUCCUAGAUCUGUCUCCAGUAACCACACCUAGUGAGAUACAUGCACUGACAAGCACCAGCAGUCAGCAGAAGACUGGGCAGUGCUCUUUAUCUCCCUGAA
rnacentral:lncRNA from 1 species